rnacentral:lncRNA from 1 species
AUAAACUUAAAAAAGAGAAAGAAAGAAAGAAAGAAAGAAAGAAAGAAAGAAAGAAAGAAAGAAAGAAAGAAAGAAAGAAAGAAAGAAAGAAAGAAAGAAAGAAAGAAAGAAAGAAAGAAAGAAAGAAAGAAAGAAAGAAAGAAAGAAAGAAAGAAAGAAAGAAAGAAAGAAAGAAAGGAAGGAAGGAAGGAAGGAAGGAAGGAAGGAAGAGAGAGAGAGAGAGAGAGAGAGAGAAGGAGAG